rnacentral:rRNA from 1 species
UAGGGAAUCUUCCACAAUGGACGAAAGUCUGAUGGAGCAACACUGCGUGAAAGAUGAAGGUCGAAAGAUUGUAAAUUUCUUUUCUGAGGGAAAAAUUCUGAUUGUACCUCAGGAAUAAGCGACUGCUAACUACGUGCCAGCAGCAGCGGUAAUACGUAGGUCGCAAGCGUUAUCCGGAAUUAUUGGGCGUAAAGCGUCCGCAGGUGGCGAGUUAAGUUGGAUGUUAAAUAUCAUGGCCCAACCAUGAUGCCGCAUUCAAAACUGGCUUGCUUGAGAAAUGCAGAGGCAAGUGGAAUUCUGUGUGUAGGGGUAAAAUCCGUUGAUACACAGAGGAACACCAAAAGCGAAGGCAGCUUGCUGGGCAUUUUCUGACACUCAUGGACGAAAGCGUGGGUAGCAAACAGG